rnacentral:lncRNA from 1 species
AUGGGCUUUGUUUGUUGUAUUCAUUUGAUUUCUACUUACUUUCCUCCUUCACAGUUCCCGGUCACUGCUAUCACAGAAAAUAGACUCAACUCAAAAGGGUUUACAGAAGUUCCAAGACACAGAGGGACAGAUGUGAAUGGAAUGAGAUGGUAUGCUCCAUUUCUUGUGCCAACAAGUUCCGUUUCAUUGUAUUAAGGUAUCAAAGGGAGCAAACACAGUGCUUGAGACUCACCAUGUGUUCAAACAUAAAAGCCAAUGGAUGAUUCCGUGUGAUCUGAGCCACUUGGUCUACCAGCUGGGAACAACACCACUGUCACCAGCAGAAAACUAAGGCAGGUCAGAACAUUGC